rnacentral:lncRNA from 1 species
ACCGAAGCCCUGUAUUCUCAAUGUCAGCCCAAGCAAUUUGCCAGGAGCCAAACCAGGAGUCUGGCCAAGGUUUCUGAUGUAAAUGCAUGAUCUUUCUUUAAGAACUUGCCUCGGCUCAGCCCCUUCCCACCAUACAUUCCAAAACUAAAGCAACUUUAAGAGCUGAAGCCAAGCUGCUGUGCCUAGCAAAUCAUCAGCAUUGAUGCCACUCUCAGACCUUUUCAAAUGAGCCAGUAGGAAGAAUGUCAGUGACAAGUUGGGAACCCCAGGAGACCUGGAAGGGACAGCCAAGGAAGAGAGAACCAGCACCUUCCAGAGAACAAAUGUUUCAAGUUAAAAGGCCUGCCCAGGCCCUGGGCCAGUGCAGCAUAAUGCAGUGUGAUUAUGGGAGCAAUCUAAAAAUCAAUACCGACUGGGCAGCCAACACAGCACCUAUGGAAAUAGCCAACCAAUGGGUCCUCUCCUCCAAGAACCCGGCAGCCACCACCUCCUGCAGCACAAACAAGCAAACUUUCUAAACCCAAGUAGUAUCCUGGAUCUAAGAAACUGAAAAGACAAAUUGCCAGAGCUCUGGGAGGGUCUUUAUAAAGUCCUAAAGCACCUCUGCAAACAGAGGCUGAAAUAAGAUAAAUCCCCUGAAGGGCUGUCAGUCAUCAUCAUCAUUCGGCCCCUCUUAAGUAAUGAUAGUGAGGAG